AGCCCCUCCCCCUCGAGAAACGGUCGCGUUUGAGCUUUGCGUUCGCCGCGCGCUGUUCAGUCCGGUGAGUCACCGUUCGCGCUGGAAUAACGUACCGAGAGAAAAAGAGCGGCGGAUAAAGAACGGAAACCGGGGGAAAGAGCUGGAGCUGCGAGCAUGGCGGUCGAGGAGGAAGGUCUUCGCGUUUUCCAGAGUGUCAAAAUAAAAAUCGGUGAAGCCAAGAACAUUCCUCCCUAUCCGGGUCCGAAUAAGAUGCGGGAUUGUUACUGCACAGUCAACCUGGACCAGGAGGAAGUUUUCCGAACCAAAACCUUGGAGAAGUCCUUAUGUCCGUUCUACGGUGAGGACUUUUAUUGUGAAAUCCCGCGCAGUUUCCGUCAUCUGUCCUUCUACAUCUUUGACAGAGACGUGUUCAGGAGGGACUCCAGCAUUGGUAAAGUGGCUGUGAAGAAGGAAGACCUGCAAAAAUACCACGGUAAAGACCACUGGUUCCCGCUGCAGCCAGUGUGUGCAGACUCAGAGGUGCAGGGAAAGGUUCACCUGGAGCUGCGUCUCAGUGAGCUCAUCACAGACAGCGGAGUUGUCUGCCACAAGCUGGCCACACGGGUUCUGGAGUGUCAGGAUCUGCCGAUAGUGAAUAACCAGUGCGAUCCGUAUGCCGUCGUCUCAUUAUUCGGCCCCUCCAGGUCAGAAGCCAAGAAGACGAAGGUCAAACGGAAAAACAACAAUCCUCAGUUCGAUGAGGUCUUCUUUUUUGAGGUGACCAAACCUCCGAGCUACACCAAACGCCAGUUUGACGUGGAAGAAGACGACGUGGAUAAGCUCGGGCUCAAGGUGGAUCUGUGGAACGCCAGCAAUCUGAAGUUCGGAGAUGAGUUUCUGGGAGAGGUGCGGGUGCCACUGAAGAUGAUGGGACAGUCGGGGGUUCAUGACGCAUGGUACUUCCUACAGCCCAGAAAUAAUGGCAAUAAAUCAGUGAAGGCUGAUGAGUUGGGCUCGUUACGACUCAACAUCAUCUACACGGAGGACCAUGUGUUCCCCACGGAGCAUUAUAACCCACUCCGAGACCUGCUGCUGCAGUCAGCACACCUCCAGCCCGUCUCGGCGUCAGCAGCUCAUAUCUUGGGCGAGGUGUGUCGUGAGAAGCAGGAGGCGGCUGUUCCUUUGGUGCGACUUUUCCUGCACUACGGCAAAAUCGUGCCUUUCCUCAGCGCCAUCGCCCACGCCGAGAUCAGCCGCACGCAGGAUCCCAACACCAUAUUCCGGGGAAACUCGCUGACAUCCAAAUGCAUAGAUGAGACCAUGAAGCUGGCGGGGAUGCAUUACCUGCGCGUCACGCUCAAACCCAUCAUCGAUGAGAUCUGCACGGACCACAAACCCUGUGAGAUCGACCCGGUCAAGCUGAAGGAGUCCGAGAACUUGGACACCAAUAGGGAGAACCUGCAUCAGUACGUGGACCGGAUCUUUAAUGUGAUCACCAGCUCGGGUGUGAGCUGCCCGACGGUCAUGUGUGAUAUCUUCUUCUCGCUGAGAGAGUCUGCUGCGUCACGCUUCCAGGUUGACCCGGAUGUGCGGUACACAGCUGUCAGCAGUUUCAUCUUCCUCCGUUUCUUUGCUCCUGCCAUCCUCUCUCCGAACCUCUUCCACCUGCGUCCACAUCACCCGGAUCCGUACACGUCUCGGACGCUCACGCUUAUCUCCAAAACCAUCCAAACUCUGGGAAGCCUGGCCAAGUCCAAAUCUGCCAAUUUCAAAGAGUCCUACAUGGCUGCGUUCUACGACUUCUUCAACGAGCAGAAGUACGCUGAUGCAGUGAAGAAUUUCCUGGAUCUGAUCUCGUCCUCGGCCCGCUGGGAUCAGAAGAGCAUCGAGACGCCCAUCAUGCUGAAGGAAGGAUUCAUGAUCAAACGAGCUCAAGGGAGAAACCGCUUCGGUCUGAAGAACUUCAAGAAGAGAUGGUUCCGGCUGACCAACCACGAGUUCACCUACCACAAAACCAAAGGAGAAGGCCCUCUUUGCAGCAUCCCUAUUGAGAACAUCAUGGCUGUAGAGAGACUCGAGGAAGAGUCCUUCAAAAUGAAGAACAUGUUCCAGGUCAUCCAGCCAGAGAGGGCGCUCUACAUCCAGGCCAAUAACUGUGUGGAGGCGCGCGACUGGAUCGACAUCCUGACCAAAGUCAGUCAGUGUAACCGCAAGCGUCUGAGCACUUACCACCCGUCGGCGUUCCUCAACGGACACUGGCUCUGCUGCAAGCUGUGUGCGGACACGGCUCCGGGCUGCACGCCCUGCACGGGGGGACUUCCUGCCAACAUCCAGCUGGAUGUGGACGGAGACCGAGAGACGGAGCGGAUCUUCUCGCUCUACAGCACAUACAUGACCAAACUAGUCAAGAUGCAAGAGGCGUGUGGCAGUAAGUCUGUGUACGACGGUCCCGAGCAGGAGGAAUACUCCACGUUUGUGAUCGAUGACCCGCAGGAGACGUAUAAAACCCUGAGACUCGUCAUCUCAGCCGUGCAGACACUGGAGCAGCAGCACAUGCAGUACAAACGAGACAAGUUCAGGAAGACCAAGUACGGCAGCCAGGAACAUCCAAUCGGUGAUAAGAGCUUCCAGUGCUACAGCCGCCAGCAGUCAGAAAGCUCCACCUACUCCAUCUGACCACGCCCACUGCAGACACACGCCGUCUCCACGGCAACAGCCGCGUCUCAGACAGGAAGCUAGGCCUCUGGUGUUUUCAUACGGUUUUAACCAAUCAGCAGCCGCCAUGCAGAUCCGUGGACGAUGUAGCUCUGCCUCGCGGCACGGUUUGGCGUUUGCUGAUGUUUUCAAGCUCGGAGACGAGCAGACGUCCUCUAGCGGUGGAUGUUUUAUAAACUGAGCAUUGGACCACAGGACAGACUCCACAAUCGUUUGGUUGGUGGAUGUGAGAGCUCCGUCCACACACGUCCAGUAUUGAUGUCACGCCUGCAGAAGCAGCGCUGCAUUGUGGGAGAUGUGUGGUGUGGUGUCUUACAGCAUGCAGAUGUCCUCGUCCCAGACGUGUCCAGCAUGUGGCGUGACGCUGAUGGUUUGUGGGUCCAGUUGUGUUCAGAAUCACACUUGUGUUUUUAUACAUUGUCAUGUCACACAUCCUGUAAAUUCACUGAUAUCCUGCUCUGGUUACAGUGUGUGUGUGUGUGUGUGUGUGUGUGUGUGUGUGUGUGUGUGUGGCUCAUGAGUGUUUCAUUGAUUAAUUAUGAAUAAUAAUUCCCAGUUCAUCACAUCACACUUUACAGAGAUGUUUAAUAC